AGCUGGAAAUGUUGAAUUCAUGUAUAUGAGCUAUAGGGGAGAGGAGAAGAUCUGCUUUUAUGAGAGAAACAGACGGAGAAGUGCAACAAGAAAGGGUGGCAGGGAAAAAGUGAGAAUGUGUUUACAUUUGGAUGGUGAGACCAAAGUGCUUGGAAAUCUCCAGUUAGUCACUGAUAGACUACUAAUCAUGAGUUAAAGGUUUGCAAUUGGCCUUUACUGCUUGGAGGUGGCUCCCAGCUGCUGUCCUAAAUUCCUUGCUCCCAAAUUUAGGGCAUUGGAUUUGGGCUCUUAGUGCCCUGGAAGCUGGUAGUUACAAGGCACGAAUGAAAGUGGAGCUUAGUUUUGUUUUAGAAGAGCCCCAAGAUGCAAAAUGUUCUUGAUAAUGUUCUUCAGUGUUGGGUUACCAUUCACAUUGAACACAAGUAUAAGCCUAAAUUCAGCUUUAAAAUUGAAGGCAAAUAAUAAUCUGGGCCCCAUAAUCACAUCAGUGUUUGCAUUAACAGUCAUUCAGUGAAUGACUGUUGAAUGGAGCCAGAGACUUCCAAAGCACCCAUCACCUGUGAGCAUCUUGGCUUACAUCUGCCUGGAUGUUACAAUGUCAGCUUUAUUUAGAACUAUAUUAUCCCAUGAAAGUGAUAUUUGAUUUUUUCAUACAAUACUUUGUGAUGAAAAUAUAACUUGUUAAAGUUAGGUAAGAUACAGACUAGCCCCCUACUCUUUUAUUUUUGUAAACUCUUCCCUUUUCACUUUCUUAAAACAACUUUGGCAGGUUGCUGCAAGGGUGGGAAAUAUCAACCAAAGUGAAGCCCAUCUGCAAAACUGUUGCAUACAGCAUCACAUACCAGGCUUGAGGAUUGACUGUGGGAAGAAAAGCCUGUUAUAUUAAAAAAAAUAAUAAAUAAAUAAAACUACAGAGUAUGAUAUUAAAAUUGGAGAACAGACUUGAGAUCAGCUGUGAAUUAAAAAAAGCAUUUUGCUGUGGUUUGAAAAUAGCCUUUACUGUUUUUGUAACACUUUGCCUCUUGUGUUUUGUUUGCUCAGCUUUCAGAGGCUGGAGAAAUGUUUGUGAGAAAUCUUGAGAAAUAGAGCUAAACUUGAGUCUGACAAUAUACAGGAGCUGUGCAUGGUCAGCAUCCAAUAUAAUAUGGCUGGUACAAGGGACCAGGCAAAUGUACUGUUGUGUGUGGAGGAUGCCAUGGGCUUGCAGGGACAGGCACGACAGCAUCAUGUGUAGUGAUGCCACCUGUGGCAUGGAGCCAGCCUCUGGGCUUUGUGUGUUGCAGUGUCCACAGCACACGUGCAGAACUGGCCCCUAGGAGUGCUGAGCAGGACCGACUUGCUGGCACAACCACCUCACUGUGCAUGGUGACUGCAUUAUUGUAUGCCGCUGCGAUUGUACUGUAGCUAGAGGAUGUGCUCUCUCCUGUGCAUCACAUACAGAGUCUGCAGUGCUACUCAUUUGCAAGAAAAGUGCCGCAUAUGUGUGCACAAUGGUCUGAUUGUGAAAGACUUGCAAGCCUUCCCCUUCCUGGAGAUCCCGAAGGCCACAUUUGUCAUAUAGUCACUUUGCUAUGAGUGUGUAAUUAAAUGUAAAGCACUUUGGGAUGUUCAGCUGUAUAAAGUAUUGCUAUUGAAAUGCAAGUUGUUGUUUUUUUCUGCAGACAAACACACAAGGAAAAAAAACAAAUAAACACAGAAAACAAAUGAAAAGGUUUCUAGGGAUAAAAAUGUGAACACUGGUAGAUAAAUAAAACAUUAGAAAAAAAGGAAAAUACUUCCGGAAAACAAAUCAAUAAGAUUU